CCUACGGGUGGCUGCAGUGAGGAAUAUUGGUCAAUGGGCUUACGCCUGAACCAGCCAAGUCGCGUGAGGGCAGACUGCCCUAUGGGUUGUAAACCUCUUUUGUCAGGGAGCAACGCCGGCUACGUGUAGCCGGACUGAGAGUACCUGAAGAAAAAGCAUCGGCUAACUCCGUGCCAGCAGCCGCGGUACUACGGAGGAUGCGAGCGUUAUCCGGAGUUAGUGGUGGUAAAGGGUGCGUAGGCGGAAUGCCAAGUGAGCGGUAAAAUCGCGGGGCUCAACCUCGCUCCGCCUUUGAAACUGGCGUUCUUGAGUGGGCGAGAAGUAUGCGGAAUGCGUGGUGUAGCGGUGACAUGCAUAGAUAUCACGCAGAACUCCGAGUGCGAAGGCAGCAUACCGGCGCCCAACUGACGCUGAAGCACGAAAGCGUGGGUAUCGAACAGGAUUAGAUACCCUAGUAGUC
rnacentral:rRNA from 1 species